CCAGCAACCGAAUCAUUCACGCUAAGGACCAUGCCUCCAUCCAGAUCAACAUCGUCGACGUGAACCCCCAGACCGGCCGUAUGCUGGAAACCUCCAAAGUGUACGCCAUCUGCGGUGAGAUCCGCCGCAUGGGCGAAUCGGACGAUUGUAUCGUUCGCCUCGCCAAGAAGGACGGACUGUUGACCAAGAACUAUUAAAUGCUGUAUGAAGGAUAUUCAAUAAAAACAGUUGAAAAAUCUUAA